GGGGAGGAAAGGGAUCCAGGGCCCCUCUCUGCCCCCAUGGCAGCUUCUUGUAGAUCCACAGCUGACCCUGAGAAGAGCAAAAUGCAGCAAGCAUGAGCCAAAACAAACAAAAAUGCACAGCAGCUAUGGAAAGUUAAGCCACAAGCCACAGGAGCUAUAGCUCCAAAGUUCAUGAGCAAGAGCUAGAGGAAAGAGGCAGCAGGGCAGGGUGGAGGCCCUGAUCCGGACGGCUGGUGAGGAUCGCUACAGCCCCCAUCCCAUGGAAACAAUAGGAGGAGGCCAGAGCGCAGGGCGGGGAUGAACCACCAGUUGCUCUGGAAUCGCAUCGCAGGACUAGUGUCUCAGCCAGAAGCCACGCAGAACUGCUGCUGCUAAGAACCAUCCAGGGGAAAGGCAGAUUCAUAAACACCACGCUGUGGCCCCGUCCACCAUAUGCUCUGCAUCUGGCACUGCGACUACUGGCUCUUCCUGAGUCCACGUGACCAUGAAAGGGGGACGUCUGAGUCAAUGCAGGACGUCCAGGCCGCCAGGACAGCUCAUCUACAAACACU